AGAUAAUAGGAUUUAAAAUCUAAAAUUUAAAUCAGUUAUCGGUAGUGCUCAUACCACUGUCCGUCGUUAUACUACAUCGUCAAGUAAUAGUAUUUGGUUUCUAGUUGGAUUAUCGAUCUUUGCAAGUGAUUGAUUUACCCAUAAUCCUCCUUUUUGACGUCGACAUUUAGGAAAAGCAGACGCAUUUUUUAGCCAUAGAUUUAUCUUCUAAAACCCGCCCACCCUCCC
rnacentral:lncRNA from 1 species